rnacentral:rRNA from 1 species
GAUGAACGCUGGCGGCGUGCCUAAUACAUGCAAGUCGAGCGAAUGGAUUGAGAGCUUGCUCUUAUGAAGUUAGCGGCGGACGGGUGAGUAACACGUGGGUAACCUGCCCAUAAGACUGGGAUAACUCCGGGAAACCGGGGCUAAUACCGGAUAACAUUUUGAACCGCAUGGUUCGAAAUUGAAAGGCGGCUUCGGCUGUCACUUAUGGAUGGACCCGCGUCGCAUUAGCUAGUUGGUGAGAUAACGGCUCACAAAGGCAACGAUGCGUAGCCGACCUGAGAGGGGGAUCGGCCACACUGGGACUGAGACACGGCCCAGACUCCUACGGGAGGCAGCAGUAGGGAAUCUUCCGCAAUGGACGAAAGUCUGACGGAGCAACGCCGCGUGAGUGAUGAAGGCUUUCGGGUCGUAAAACUCUGUUGUUAGGGAAGAACAAGUGCUAGUUGAAUAAGCUGGCACCUUGACGGUACCUAACCAGAAAGCCACGGCUAACUACGUGCCAGCAGCCGCCGCCG